CCUACGGGCCGCACCAGUGGGGAAUAUUGGACAAUGGGCGAAAGCCUGAUCCAGCCAUGCCGCGUGUGUGAAGAAGGUCUUCGGAUUGUAAAGCACCUUAAGUUGGGAGGAAGGGCAGUAAGUUAAUACCUUGCUGUUUUGACGUUACCAACAGAAUAAGCACCGGCUAACUUCGUGCCAGCAGCCGCGGUAAUACGAAGGGUGCAAGCGUUAAUCGGAAUUACUGGGCGUAAAGCGCGCGUAGGUGGUUCAGCAAGUUGGAUGUGAAAUCCCCGGGCUCAACCUGGGAACUGCAUCCAAAACUACUGAGCUAGAGUACGGUAGAGGGUGGUGGAAUUUCCUGUGUAGCGGUGAAAUGCGUAGAUAUAGGAAGGAACACCAGUGGCGAAGGCGACCACCUGGACUGAUACUGACACUGAGGUGCGAAAGCGUGGGGAGCAAACAGGAUUAGAUACCCGUGUAGUC
rnacentral:rRNA from 1 species